AUGUANCACGCGUACAGUGCGGUUCCGAGCGUGCCGUUCACCCCGCCUGGCGACUGCGCGCGACGUGCGUGAGCC
rnacentral:sRNA from 1 species